rnacentral:rRNA from 1 species
AGUGAACGCUGGCGGUAGGCCUAACACAUGCAAGUCGAACGGCAGCACAGUAAGAGCUUGCUCUUACGGGUGGCGAGUGGCGGACGGGUGAGGAAUACAUCGGAAUCUACUUUUUCGUGGGGGAUAACGUAGGGAAACUUACGCUAAUACCGCAUACGACCUACGGGUGAAAGCAGGGGAUCUUCGGACCUUGCGCGAUUGAAUGAGCCGAUGUCGGAUUAGCUAGUUGGCGGGGUAAAGACCCACCAAGGCGACGAUCCGUAGCUGGUCUGAGAGGAGGAUCGGCCACACUGGAACUGGGACACGGUCCAGACGCCUACGGGAGGCAGCAGUGGGGAAUAUUGGACAGUGGGCGCGAGCCUGAUCCAGCCACACCGCGUGGGUGAAGAAGGCCUUCGGGUUGUAAAGCCCUUUUGUUGGGAAAGAAAAGCAGCAGGUUAAGACCCCGCUGUUCUGACGGUACCCAAAGAAUAAGCACCGGCUAACUUCGUG